CGAGGAGAGGGGAAGACACCCUGGAGCCGGGAGGGGCAGGCGCCCCGGGUGGACCCCCGGCUGGAGAGGAGGGGGUCCUUGGACCCGGGGCCGGGGCAGUUCUCCAGGCUCCGGCUCCCAGGUCCUCUACGCGGGCGCUCGCGGCCAGCGUCGCCGGGGGUGGAGCGCGGCCCUGCUCCAUCCUGCCCCAUCCUGACCGUUCGGUGGGGCUCCGCAGUGCGUCUCCACGCCGAGUGUGGAGGCCGCACGGCCCGGCGCGCGUCUGUGGGCGCGGGUGCCCCGCGCGCCCCUCCCGGCGCCCCCGGCCCGCUCGCGGAGGCCGCCCCGAGCGGAGCUUUGUGACGUCAGGCGGCCGGCGGGCCGCGUCACGCGCGGGGCUGACCCGGCGCGGGGCGGGGGCCGGGCCGGGACGCGGAGCAUGGAGCCGCGGGCCGGCUGCCGGCUGCCCGUGCGGGUGGAGCAGGUCGUCAACGGCGCGCUGCUGGUCACCGUGAGCUGCGGCGAGCGCAGCUUCGCCGGGAUCCUGCUGGACUGCACGAAAAAGUCUGGCCUCUUCGGCCUGCCCCCGUCAGCUCCGCCGCCCCAGGCCCAGGACCCGCCUGUCAACGGCUGCCACGGGCCGGCCCCCACGGAGGGCGACACAGAGGCGAUGCAGCUGGGGACAGGCCCCCCGCCACCUCCCAGUGGGGACCAGGCCCCUGGGACCGCCAGCCCCGAGCCGCCCCUGCUGCCCGCCGGAAGCCUGCCCCCGUUCCCGCCCUAUUUUGAAGGCGCCCCCUUCCCUCCCCCGCUCUGGCUGAGGAACACGUACCGGCAGUGGGUGCCGCAGCCGCCCCCCCGGGGCAUCAAGAGGACACGGAGGCGCCUGUCCCGCAACCGCGACCCUGGCCACCUGGCCCUGAGUCCCAUCCGCCUGCGGCCCCGCCAGGUGCUCUGCGAGAAAUGCAAGAGCACCCUGAGCCCCCCAGAGGCCAGCCCCGGCCCCCCGGCCCCCCCACAGCCGCGCAGGGAGCCCCGAAAGCCCGAGGACCCCAACGGUGGGGGUGACACCACCGCCAAGAGGAGGAAGAGGGAGAGGCGGCAGGAGGCACGGGCCCGGGUCCCCCGGAGCCCGGUCAUCAAGAUCUCCUACAGCACGCCCCAGGGCACCGGCGAGGUGGUGGAGAUCCCCUCCCGCGUGCACGGCUCGCUGGAGCCCUUCUGCCCCCCUCAGGCCCCGCCCGGAGGCCCGGACCCCGAGGCGCCUGCCUCCAUCCCCAAGCUGAAGCUGACACGGCCCCUGCCCCCCAGCGCUGCCCCGCCGCCCCCCAAGAUCCGCCUGAAGCCCCACCGCCCGGGGGCUGGCGAGCAGGAGCCCGUCUACAAGGCCGAGCUGGUGGAGGAGCUCAAGGGCUGUGGCCGCGGCCCCCGGGCCGGCUCACCCGCGCCCCUGGCUGACGGCUCUGCCCGCUCUGGGCUGGCGGACUCGUCUUCUGGAAGUUCCGGCGAGGACGACGACUGCAAGGGGUGUCCCCGAGGCGAACACGGGCGUGACGGCCUGGCUUUUCUCGCCGCCUGCCCCCGGAGAACUGGCUGUGCCAGCGUGUCGGUGUGCAGCAGCGACAGCCUGGACGAGUCCAAAUCGUCCAGCUCGGAAGUGACGUCACCAGACAUGUGUGACCUCUCGUCUGGCGACGGUGCGUCUGUGCCGGCCUCGUCCAAGGACGCGCGGCCGACGGUCCCACCCCUGACGGUCAGGCUGCACACGCAGAGCAUCUCCAAGUGCGUUACUGAGGAUGGAAGGACCGUGGCCGUAGGGGACAUCGUGUGGGGUAAGGUUCAUGGUUUUCCCUGGUGGCCAGCACGUGUCCUGGACAUCAGUCUUAGCCAGAAGGAGGACGGCGAGCCCUCCUGGCAAGAAGCGAAAGUCUCAUGGUUUGGUUCUCCAACUACAUCGUUCUUGUCUAUUUCAAAACUCUCCCCUUUCUCUGAAUUUUUCAAACUGAGAUUUAACCGUAAGAAGAAGGGGAUGUAUCGGAAAGCUAUAACAGAGGCUGCCAAUGCCGCCCGACACGUGGCCCCGGAAAUAAGGGAGCUCUUAACCCAGUUUGAAACGUAACUCGGGUUCCGACCAGGUGAGUGUGUGCGCGGAGGGCGGCCUCUCUCUGGCCGUCCCAAGCCCGUGUCUGCAUCUGGGCUGUCCCUCCGCCCGGGGCCUCGGUGAGCCAGGGGGACGUGGACGCCCCUGGCCAUCUGGCUCGCUGCUCCGAAGGGGGCCGUCUGGACAAUCGCCCCGCUUGCUGGCAACAUUGUCCAGCGUUUUGAUUCACAGAAGAGGUGCUUUCAAAGCAGGCGAGUCGUCAGCCACCUGUUCAGAGAACAGAGCUAGUUUGUGUUUUGCGGCCAUUUUGCAAAGGACCGUAAAAGGUCUCCUUGCUCUUUUCGUUUGCCUUUGGAGAAAGGAGAGGGUUUCAAAGGUGGCGGCUCUGACUGAGGGGGCGGUGGUGAGCGCAGUGGGGGGCUUUCUCUGUUACUCACUCUUCCCAGGCUGCAGCCGGGGCCUCCCUCCCUCCCCUCCCCAGCCUCCUGCUUGCAGGUGCGUCCAGGGGUCUGACUUUGCCCGAAGGAGGAAAGUCACCGAGCUGCCUGCCCUCAGAGGUAGCGCCUACGGCCCAGCGCUGCUCUGCUGCUGCCAGUGGGGGCUCCCCUCUGUCAGCCGGCACGUGGGUCCUGGACAUUGGUGCCCGGGGGCUCCAGGCUCCCGGUGGCGGGGCCGGUGCUCUGGGAUCUGUCCCUGGGCCAGUGCCUCGCCCUCUGUCUCUGCCCCCAGGAGACCUUUGUAGGAUCCCAGCCACAGGCCUUAUGGAGCCUCUGUGGGGUUGGGGGUGUCACCACCUGGGGUUGGAAGCCUCACCUUGCGCAGUUGCCGUGUCACCAGGUGGGGUGGGGCAUCACCGUGUGGCGUGUCUGGCGGGGUGUCCGGAAACGGCCGAGGGGCUGAGGGCGUCUGCCAUGAGCUUCCCCUGGGCCCCGAGGUGCAGGGAGAUGUGGGUGUGCUCUCAUCUGGUGGCUGCCACCAGCUCUGGCCUGGGCAGCGGGGUGUGUCCAGCGGGUCACUGGCGCUGGUGGCCACUCUUCCCAGGUCUGACUGCCCCCUCUGUCCUCCCCUGGUUGGUCCCGGGCAGGCCAUGGUCCCCCGAGGCUCCAGGCCGCCUGGGUGGACCAGAGGGGACAUGACAGGGUCCCCUGUGAGGGGCAGCCUGUGGGGUCAGUGCUCUUCCUGGCCCAGUGGCCUCGUGCUCACGCCCACAGAAGCAGACGGCAUGGCACGGGGCUGGCCCGGAGGACGAGCUGGGCCUCUGCCUUCACCUCCGGACCCUCGGGUGACCUUGUGUGGCCUGGCUGCCCUGCUCACCCACCUGUCUGUGCCAGUUUCCCGGGUGACGUGAGUUUUCAGGGCUGGGCAAGCCCAGCUCACGUGGCUGGGGAGGGGCUUUGUGGAGUGCUGGUGCCCGCUCCCUGCUGUGCCGGGUCCAGCGGGGUCCUGAAGAAGCAGUCAUGAGGGGCACGUCUGGGCCGGGGUCCCUGCCGGGGCUCCUGAGGCCUUGUCCCCACCCCUCCCCCACCUGCUUCCCACGUCACCUCCAGCAUGGCUCCCCGGAUUCCGGGCACGAACUUCUCCUGUUGGGAACCAGGCACAUCCCCCGUCAGUUCUGGCCUUCGUGUUGGGGCGUGGGCGUGGCACCGACCUGGGGGCAUCCAGGCAGCUAGGGUCUCAGGUGAGGGCGGCCAGCUCACCUGAGGGGCAGCGGUCCAGAGAGAGUCCAGAUGCCCUGGCAUCGGGCUUCCUAGGGCAUCUCCCUGCUGUGGCCAGGCUGAGGGACAGCCCUGGCUGUGGCCACGUCCGCUGGCCUGGGGACCACCGGGGAUGGGGGGGCCCUGCCUCUCUCUGUGCCCUUCUGCUCCUGGCCCUGCCCCUCUGCUCACAGGGCCCAGCCGUCUUUGGCCUGGUGUCAGGCAGCUUGCCCACGUGCCCCUGCUGUGGGCAGAGGCAGCCCCGUGGGUUCAGGGCUCUGUAUCAGGAAGCAGAGGAGGAAUCCCGCCGGACGGGUUUGCCUGCUGCGGGGCCUGUGCCCCUGCCCCCGCGGGGUGUGGGGCUUUGGGGGCACGGCGGGGCGGCCUGGAUCCUCUCGGCGCCAAAGCACCAAUGGUUUAGGCUGAUGGGCUUCUGGGUUUUGUUUCUUGAGGCUUAAAGACUGAGCUGAGGUUGUGCCAGCCAGUGGCUGAUCUGCUGGCGUCAGCAAGCCUGGGCCUCGUGCUCAGGUGGGGUCCGCGGUCUCCUGGUGGACAAGUUUGCUUGCAGGUGUCAAGUGUCUGAGGAGCAGCCGUCCAGGCUGCUCCUUGCAGGGGAAGCAGGGGACUGCCCUCACCGGGGAAGGUGUGUCAGGAGAGUCUCAGCAGAUGUGGGGCUGGGCCCCUUCCACGGGCGUGUGCCCAGCACCUCUUCCCCGAGAGACUCUGCCCCCUUUGCAGGGCUGCUGGAGGCUCGGCUAAGAGGUGGGUGCCCACGCGGACGUUGUGAGAGUUGCGGAGCCGGCCUGGGGCCUGGCGGCCAGGGCGCUGGGGAGAGGCCAGUGGGGCUGGCUGGGCACAGGGGCUCUGAGCAGGCACCACCCCCAGGGUGCUCGUGUGCCCCGUUGGGGCGCAUCUCCCGAGGGCUCCGGGCCCUGCCCUGGCCCCAGCAGGCUGGCGACUCUGAGCCCCCGUUUCCCCAUCUGUCUCCGGGUAGGGGGGGAGUGAGGGGACUUGUCUGCAGCCGGCUUUCCAGCUCUGCUUUCCCGGGGGUCCUCCCAUGUCCCCCCGGGGUGGGGCCGGGGUCGUGCUCCUGACUGGAUGGGCUGGGCAACUCCUGCUGCCCACUGGUCAGGGGGGCGAGGGUCCUGCAGGGGGGACAGGGAUGCCCUGAGUGCGGGGCUGGCCCCCCAACCUGACAGGUGACAGCGACUCCUCCCGGGGGUGGUGUGACCCCAGGCCUCUUCCUCUCAGACCCGGUUACGUGCCUCUUCUCUCCCCACCCACCCACCCACCAAGGGGUCGGCCUACCGAGGACUGAAUGCUCUGCUGGAUGGGGGACAGAAGUGUGCACAGUCACCGAGGCCUUUGUCUGGGGGGCUGGGGAGAGGGCUGUGACUCAGAGUCCCCAGAUUCGUGCAUAAUCACACACAGGAAUGUGCUGAGGGGGGACAAGGGCCUCCCAGCAGAGUGUCUGGUGAGGAAGCUGAUUUGGACUGGGGAUCUGGGAAGGCUUCCUGGAGGAGGUGACAUAUAGCUGAGAUUAGAACAGUGGGCUAAUCAUGAGCUAAUAGGGUGGGGAUGAGCAUCUGAGGAUGCAAAAGGAGCAGCACGUGCUGGGGCCCAUGGCAGAAGGAAGGUGGGCAUGUCCUUAGGGGUGGGGAGAGGCCCAGUGUGGGCCUGGUGGCCUGAGGCCCCAGCUGUGGCCUUAUCCUCAGAGUAGGGGUGCCAUGGGAGAACUUCAAGCAGAGGGUGGAUGGUCCUGUGCUCUGGGACAGCAGUGUGAUGGGGGCCGGAGGCUGGAAGGAUGUGCCAGAGGACGGAGGCUCAAACAAGGAUGGGGCGUCAGAGGGCCACAGGGAGCAGGGGGCAGAGGCCCAGGGGACGGGCUGGGCUGCUGGGAACUCGGGGACCGCCAUGCCCCUCGCCGGCCGUGGAGGGGGUACUCCGGUUGCCGGCAUGUGAACGCCUGGGUCUCAGCUGGGAGGAGUCUCGGGGUCCAGCCUCAGAGGAGCCUUGGGGCCGAGUGGUGGAUUCAUUGGAUGACAUGGGUGAGGACGAGGCCGUGGGUGAGCACAGAUGGGCUGGGGCCUCGCCCAGCCCGCGGGCACCACCCAGGUGAGGGCAGGUGGUGAUGGAGCCGUCCGUUACCAGGUGCACGGUCACUGGGAACGCACCCCAAGGGCCUGGGAGGUGCGGUGACGGGUGCUUCGGUGUCCUGGGAGCCGUGACAGCUCAGAAUGCCACCCAAUGUCCCAGCCUCUCAGCCCAGUGGGAAAUUCACAGGCCCCGUGUGAGCUGGGAGGGUCCAGGGCUGGGGCCCAACCUCCCGUGGAACCGCAGGGGCCCUGGCCCCUUCCCUUCCUGCCCGAGUGGCCGGGCCGCUGGCCAGCAGGGAACUUUCGGGGCUCACUCCGCGGGCAGCUCCGAGCGCUGGGUUUUUUGGUUUCUCUGAGUGGAGGGCACCCUUGGGGUGGGCCUCGUCCCCUAUGAAACUUCCUGUGGCGCUGGUACAAAUGACCUCACGCUGGGCAUUUGGAAACAACAGAAAUCUCUUCCUAUGGUUCUGGAGGCCAGAAGCCCGAAGUCAAGGUGCCGGCAGGGCUGUGCUGCCUCCGAGGCUCCAGGGGAGGGUCCUUCCUGCCUCUUCCAGCUCCUGGGGGCUCGGGCGCUCCCGGGCCUGUGGCCGCAUCAUGCAGCCUCUGCCUGCCCGGUGACGGGGGCCUCUCUGCUGUGACGCGUCCUCCCUGCCGUCCUCCAUGAGGACCCUGUGAGGCGUUUAUGGGCCACCUGCUUAGUGCAGCCUGAUCUGCUCAUCUCAAAGCCCUCAUUCCAUCACACUGGCCACACCUGUCCCAUGGAAGGUGACGGCCCGGGUUCCAUGGUCGGGGCCCCACUCGCCUGCUGCGUCCUCUGCCCACUCGGCAGGCCCGUAUGGGUCCACGCACAGCACGUGCGGGGAGGCCGUGCACGGAGGCCGUGCACACGGGCCAGCGGCGGCACCAGGGCCGCUUUCGGCUUCCCAAGGUGACUCUCCUGGGAAACAGAGACAUCCGCGGGAAGCCAGCCCGGACCCGUGCUGCCCAGCUGUGGCGGCCGCCCGCCCCGCCCCCCCGGGAGUGCUGACUCGGCGCCCAGUUCCCCAGCGGAGGCGUCCAGAUCCCGUCUCCAGGGGCCACUUCCCUUCUGUGCCUCUUCUAGAACGGUAUCCUCAAGGCGAAUGCCCCAAACGGGCUUUUCUCUCUUCCAGUGCUAAAUAAAGAUGUACUUCUGCUUCUCAGCUGACUUCCGCGUUGCUUUCAGGGAACUCAGGUCCUCUGUGAGGGUUGUAAUUAUUUUGUUCCAGAGGAAACUAAGGCCUGUAAUUCCGAGGCUGCUGCAGGGGCUCAGGCCCCGCCCCCUCCCCGCCGCGUCCCCAGGUGGGUGCACCGGGACACAGGCCCGGUGUGUGCACUUGCUCUGCUGGGGUCCCUGGUGGGGGUGGGGACUUCUCCCAGCCGAGGGGAGGGGCUGCGGGCCCCCUGGGCUGGGCCUUCCAGGCCCCACGCUGCCCCUCCCACUGGUGAGAUGCCUUAACCACUCUUGGCCAGGGGGCCCCACUGCCAGCUCCAAGUACUCGUCCCUGUUCCUGUCCUGCUUCUUCUCCACUGGACGGAGCACCCACCCCAAGGUAGGAGGUCCCAGAGCACACGGGGAGGGGCCUGAGCUCUGCACUCCUGCGCCGGGGGACUGGGGUGCGACCCCUCCGUGGGACGGUGGCCCCUCAGCUGCCUGUCGGGAGGCCCUUCUGUCCUGGUGACCUGAUCAGGCCGUCCUGCAGUAACACUUUGGUCACCUUUAGAUGAGCUCUUACAGAACAUAUGGACGCGCGUCUGAGUCGGUUCCCGGCACCCUCCGGAGUGACCAGCGUGUCUGCCAUAAACAUGGUGGACACCUCUCAGUCCAGGUGAAUGUCCUUUUUGACGCCGGAUCGUCCCGUUGUUGGCCGUGGGCUCAUCGGCUCAUGAGUCCGCCUGACGACCACGGGGUCUCUGGCAGCGGCCUUGCUUUCUGCCAGGACUCGGGAUUCUGUGUCACCGUGGGCAUUUCUGGCCCAGACCCAGGGUCAGCCGUUUCCCGAGGAGUCCCGGGUCCUCUCAAGGGGACUGGUACCCAGCCGCCAUCCUGCCUGGGUGCAAGGCGUGCUGGCUGCCGGGGUCACACUGUUUCCAGGUGGUUUCUUAGCCUUUGCAGUUAACAGACCUUGGAAUUUCUUUCAGGAGAAAAGAAAUCAUGACUUCACACUGAUUUUUCUAAUUCAGAUUUUAUACUUUUUCAACUUUUAUAUUCACAUCUCUCUCUCCUUAUACUGAAGAUCUUGGUUCUUAGUGAUAUUAACACAAUAAUUUUACAUGUAAAAGUUAAUAUAUGUAAAAUAUUUAAUAUAUGUAGAGUCCAUCACGUAUGUAAUCGUUUUAGACAGUGAUGCCACCAGCUCCCCCGUGGGCCAGCGCCAAGCUUUGCUUGCAGGCCUUUGGUCCCCGGGCUCUGGCUUUUUGGGGGGCAUGUCAAAUUCCUGUUCCAGAGUUAUCGAGACAGCGCCACCUCCGCGGUUGUCAUGACCUCAGGCACCGUUAGGGUCACUGAGCUCCUUUUUUCGUUCCAUCUGUAGAGAUUCCUUUACAUUUUGAUUCCGUGCACAUUUCCAGGGGGUCCCAAGUCAGCCUGAGCAUAUCGUCCCGGCCCCUCCGUGCUGACCUCCUCCUGCAGGCCUCCGUUCUGCUGUGUUCGCUUGUCCUUGUGUUUGCAACAGAAGCAGACACGCAGGGCGCCCCUCCCAGCUCUCGGCUCCGUGUGGCAGAGCUGCAGUGCCGCCCACUCUGUGCCCAGUGGCCACCUCCUCAGGGACUCUCUCCUGAGCACCCCGUGUACGGCUGUGACCCCAAGGAACCCCCAGAGCUUGGGAUUCUCCAUCCCAGUAUCUCUGUUUGUCACGGCUCCUUCACAACCCACUCCUUCGUUCUUUGCUGUUCUGUUUGGGGUCUCCCCUUUGAGGAAGUAAGUUCCUGCACACCCAGACCCACGCGCUGCCUGGCACACGGUGACGCACACGGGGGCCCAGCCUGCUGGGGGCCUGGGCGCAGCCCUCCUCCGCCCUGCCCUGCGCCAGGUUCACGGCACUCUGCACGCCGGGCUGCAUCGCCGGGAGGGGGCCCAUGGUGCCCUGUCCCACAGGUGGGGAGACUGGCCCCCAGGGAGGCACAGCUAGGGUUUGCUCCCAGGCCAGGCUCUCCCCUGUGCAUCCGGCAGCCCCUGGCCCUGGGGAGGCAGAGCCGGAUGCCUGACGCGUGCCUGCCCCCCCCGCCCUCAGCACCUCGGGCGAGGGGAGAUGCUCCCCAGCUGUGGAGGAAGGGGCCUGGGAGGAUGGCCUGGCUCCGGGCGGGUUGGCAUCUGCCCCAUCAUGCCUCUGGGUUAAGAACCCUGAGCUGGAGGUGUCCACACCCGGUGUACACAGCAGAUCUGGAUGGAGGGGGCGGUGCUGGCUGGAAGGAGGGGCUGCCUGGGCCUCUGGAACAGGAGGUGGGCCACGUGUCCCCUCCACGUGUAUCCUGGGGAAAUGUGGGCCACGUGUCAACCCCUGUGUAUCCUGGGGAAACGACGUCAACAACAGCUCUCCAGCGCUCCAUCCCGGAGGAUCUGGCGUUCCUGGGAACUGUCCCCUUCCCCUCCCUGUGUCUGGGCCAGGGUCUCACCAGACCUGGUGCAGUCUGGGUGUGGCUGAAGGGGCCGCGGGACCAAGCGGGUGACUGGGGAGCUGGGUGUUCGGGGCCAUGGCCAGCAGACCUGGUGCAGUCUGGGUGUGGCUGAAGGGGCCGCGGGACCAGGCGGGUGACUGGGGAGCUGGGUGUUCGGGGCCAUGGCCAGCGCCUUGCUGGGCUCCGCUGGGUUGAGGGAGCGGUUUUCCUGAGCCACGCUGGAUGGCCCGGCGUGCGUGGCCUGUGGAAGGUUGUGCGCCUGCAGGGCUGCCGUGGGCCGCCUCCCCAGGUGGCGUCGGCGAUGCCGGGCCGCAGCUGCCUCCCUUUGCUUCCUUCUUCUUGAGGCUCCACGGUUCCCACUUCCAGCGGUGGCUGCUUUGUUUCUUUCUCAUGAGACGCUGAUGUCACCGCAUUUCGGAAGGCUGUGGUUUGGGGAACAGGCCUUGUCCGUCUGGUCUUGUGCUGUGCUCAGCCGGCCUGGUCAUCAUCCCGCAACCCAGGCCCUGUCGUGGAGGGAGGGGAGCCCCCCAUCCCCCCAUCUUCUCAACAGGCCCCCGGUCUGCAGGCAGCUUAGCCCCAUGAGGGAGCUGAGCCCAGGGCGUCUGACCGUCCUGUGUGGGGAAUGGGCUGGGGGCCGCUUUCCAGGCUGGAGACCCCAGGUUGGGAUGUACUGCUGGGAGCCCAGGGUGGUGUGGCCUCUGCCCCACGGCGCCCUCACGGGGAGACCCGGCUCAUGUGUUGCUCAUGAGGUGCAUUGGCGUGGCCCCGUGCCGGAGGCGCCCUCCCGCUGGGUGCCCUGGUGCCUGGAAGCUUCCCGGUUAACCUGCUCCCGGCAGGCAGGAAGCGGUGGGGUCCGCCGGGGGGAGCCACGUUCGGUGCAGGUGGCGUUCGCCUCCCAGUUCGAGGGGCCUCUGGCAUCGUGGCUCCCCCCUCGGACGCCUGGGCCCCCGGGCAGCUGUGGGACCGCGUGGCCUGCCCCUUCCGGUCAGGGCUGGGGCGGACCUGAUCCCUGGGGUGCUGGCCACGGGAGGCAGGGGACACUGGGGCGUCGGGGGGCCCUUCCAGGACGCAGGCUAGAGGGAGUGCCACCUCCGGGGAUGUGAGGGCUGGAGGGACCUCCGGGCCAGGACUGCGCUGAGGGCACUGGGGCGAUUCUUGGGGAGGGAGGAACUGGGGGGAAGGGGUGAGCAAGCCUUGCUGGGCAGUGGAGUUGGUUCCUAGCCAGUGGGUGUCUUCCUGCUGGGAAGAAAAAUGAGCUUCUCUCUACAGGACCACCAGCGGCAGCCUUUUGCCGUGAUCUGUGCCCUUCCCAUAGUUUCUAAGUGGGGUGGGGGACAGCAGGGCUGGGGCGCUCUGGGGUCAGCUCAGGCUGUCGCGCUGAAGGGACAGGGACCACCCCUCCCAGAGGGAACGUCCCAUUAUUAAAGAGGAGCCGGUGUGUCCCAGGCAGAGGGUCUGUCUUAGUCUCAGGGGCAUUUCCCUGGCUGAUCAGUCAAGAAGAAAGUACAGAGAAAGUCCGGGUUUGUCCCCAGAGUUAUGAGAACCCCUGCUGUCCUCACAGAGGCCCGGGCCAGCCUGAGGGCUUCCGAGAGCCACCCGCUGGCUGCCCCAGGCAGGGAGGUGGGACAGCCACGGAGUCAAGACCCAUCCCCCUGGGGCCUCUGCAUCGGCGUUUCUCCUGCCUGACCACCAGGGCUUUGGUCAUCGCUGCUGUCCUACGUCCGCGUCCUCUCCGUGCCCCUCACCGCCCCUCCUUGCCUCUCCUGGUGACUCGGGGGGUGGGAGGGCCCGGCAGCCACCACAGGCAGUGAGGACGCUGCCUGGUGUCCGCCCUGUCCUGGGGCACCUGCAGAGAGGAGACUACCAGCAUCAGGGAGGGCCUGUCCCCAGGACUGGCAUUUGGAGAGGGUAUUUGGCGGCUCAGAGAGUUUGGGCCGGAGGCGGUUGGGAAUUCGAGAGCAAGGUCCAGGAUUUUGUUUUAUGGUUUCCGUCUUUUUCUUUGCCAAGGGCAGUGUCCCCGGAAACGUGCUGCUGGCAGACACUGCAGAGCCUUUCCUGGAGCCGACCGUCUGCCCAGCCCAGGGUGCUCCCGGAGGGGGGCAGCCUGUCUCAGGGACUGAUGGGCAAGACAGACCCGGCUGUGGGUACUGGGCCCCGGGUCCGGGAUCUGGUCCUGGGUUGCGGAGGGCUCUGGGCCCCGGGUCCGGGUGUGGCUUAGUGGGCGUCAUGCCCAGAAGCUCCUGCUCUCAGGGGUGCCCUGAGACUGGGACCCGCCGCCCUGGGUGGACGAGUCUCCUUAGCGGGGCCUUAGCGCUACACUCAGGACUUAGAGGUCUUUCCCGUGUUUGCUCAGGGUCCUGCCCGGGCCACAUGCCUUGCAUCCCUCUGGAGAUGGGUCUGGAGCCCCCAGCCCUCUCCAUCUGAUGCUGAGCUGCUCCUUCAGACCGGCCUGGGGGCCGUGACCGAGCUCCGAGGCGAUGGGGAAGCAUGGGGCGGGGGGGAGGGUGGCCAGAGAGGGGUCCCUCCUGCACACCCCAAGUCGGGCUCCUGGCCGGGAGCUUUCCUUGGAGGCUUGGGGGAGGAGGAUGACAGGUCAGAGCCCGAUGACCGGCUGCGCCGGGGCGAGUGUGCGGUCCAGCUUGCUGUGGUCACCACUGGUGUUUCUUUCCUGGUCAUUGGAAUCCUGGGCGCUUUGGAUAAGGAGCAGGGCGGCGGCUCCCCUCCCCCACCUGCCAGCCGGGCCGCUGGGCCGCGGGGUCACCGCUUUCAGACCUGGGCAGCAACAGUGACGGAAGAGGACCCCUGCGCUGAGGCUUCGCCAGCCCCUCCGCCGAUGCAGGGCUCAGGGCCCACAGGCAGCCUCGGGGAUGGUGGAAAGCGUUUGCAUUUCUCUGUGCAGAUGCAGCUCCUGGAUUCUAUAUUUUAAAAAUAAGUGGAAUGGGCUUCCCUGGUGGCGCAGUGGUUGAGAGUCCGCCUGCCGAUGCAGGGGACACGGGUUCGUGCCCCGGUCCGGGAAGAUCCCACAUGCUGUGGAGCGGCUGGGCCCGUGAGCCAUGGCCGCUGAGCCUGCGCGUCCGGAGCCUGUGCUCCGCAAUGGGAGAGGCCACAGCGGUGAGAGGCCCGCGCACCACAAAAAAAAAUAAAUAAAUAAGUGGAAAAAGGCUUUGGUUCCUAUUUCACAUUACAGUAGGAUGUUCCUGAACACGAUAUCUUUCAAUUGAGUUUUUAUUUGUAGCAACGUUACAUAUGCUUAUGCUUUGAAAGCCCACUAGUAACAUGAAACGUGUAAUGAAAGGAUUUCUCUGCACAUUCCUACCCUUAUCUUGCUGUUUCUUCUUUCAUGAUUUCUCAGCCGAAGCCUUCUUUAUGGACUUUUUUCCUGUGGAAAAGGAAGAUUUUGCAACCUCAUAACACCCCCUUUUCCUGCCACACAAACACACAAACAUGAUUUCUGGCUAAAUCAGGAUUGUGUUGAUAUUAAAAACUGCAGCUUAGGGGCUUCCCUGGUGGUCCAGUGGUUAAGACUUCGCCUUCCAAUGCAGGUUCGAUCCGUGGUCGGGGAGCUAAGAUCCCACGUGCCACGUGGCCAGAAAAAAAAACCAAAACAUAAAAAAAGAAGCACUAUUGUAACAAAUUCAAUAAAGACUUUAAAAAUGGUCGACAUCAAAAAAGAAAUCUAGGGGGCUUCCCUGGUGGCACAGUGGUUGAGAGUCCGCCUGCCGAUGCAGGGGACACGGGCUCGUGCCCCGGUCCGGGAAGAUCCCACAUGCCGCGGAGCGGCUGGGCCCGUGAGCCAUGGCCGCUGAGCCUGCGCGUCCGGAGCCUGUGCUCCGCAACGGGAGAGGCCACAGCAGCGAGAGGCCCGCGUACCGCAAAAAAAGAAAUCUAAAAAAAAUUGUAGCUUAUCCACGUAGAUACUUAUGAAUAUAUUUUGUUUUUCUUCAGCUCUGUUCUCUGCAGAGUUGAAUUUGCCUCAUUUGGGGUCGUUUAUGUAUAAUCAGUUAUUGGUUCCCAGGUCUCUGAGAGAAAUGGAACCUCUCAGUGCCUUCAGACCCGUAGGGUGUUUGUUUCAGUUUAUGGUCACUCUGUGAACGAACUUCUCCCAAACACAGUGACUUCAGGCACCUCUGCUUGGUCAUUUCUCACGACUGUGUGCGCUCCCGGCCAGUGGCGUCGGCCGGGCUGGAGUGGCCUCGCCUGCCCGAGGCCUCGGCCGGGGUGGCCGGCACCUCCCUUUGCAUACGCAUGCACGCACGCACGCACGCACACACACCCGGGCCCUUCACGUGGCUGGCGUGGCAGUCUCAGGGCAUUCGGGGUCUUGUCAUAGCAGCUCACGGCUUCCAAGACUAUAAAAGCAGACGCCCACUCUCGGGGCUGGGCCAGGCUCCGGCUAGCAUCUCUCCCUCCUCCUGUGCAGGAGCGCUGCCACCAGUGCGGGUACAACUCCCCUCCUGGGGGGGCAGCAGCCGGCUUUGUGGCCGGCAGCCCCUGUGCUGCGCCUGUUCUCACUGGACUCUAGGCUCCUGGCCUCUCCCUCCCCCUCCUUCCAGGCUCUCUCCUUCCCAGAGCCUCCUGUGACCGGCAGAGCUGCAGUGUGGGGAACACUUUCCCCCUGUUUUGGGGGACUUGAGGGGGGCUCCCCUCCCUGAGAGCCCACUGCUUUCUUUAGAGAGGGGUUGGCCCUGAGACACAGGGCUGAGAUGUCUGCUGUCCCUGGUCGAGGAUGACCACCUUGUGGUCAGAUGGGAGGUGGGGACAAGUCAGGAAGCAGGGCUAAAGCCUGGGCUCCCCACCAACCUGGGAGAGGAUUUUCUUGUCCAGGGUCUGCCCUCUGCCCCACCCCCACCCACCCCUGACCCCAAGGGGGUCUCUUUAAGCCAGGAGGGUGCAUCUGGUGGUGGGGUGGGGCUCCCAGCUGGGGGCGGGGCUCCAGGGGUGUCAAUCACUCCUCAUACUGGGGCCUUCUGAGCCUUGAGCCUGGGGCACGUGCACAGCCAUCAGCCCCCCAAACCCCGAGCCACUCCCGGCUGGCAGGACCCGGAACCGUUGGCCCGUCUUCAGCCCUUGUGUGCUGGGCCCAAGGCUGUGGGGCUGCAGGACAAGCCUGUGGUCUGGGUCCCUGGGCCACUGAGGAUCCUGCACCUUCCCCGGGCAGUUCAGGGCCCCUGGUAGGUAGGGUGGGCAUGGGGGGAUGCAGGGGUCAGACACCUGCCCCUGGGAGAGGGGCAGGGGCACCAAAGGGGGCGGGACUCCUGAGAUGGUGAGGGCUGGGUGAAGCUGAGGGAGAGACUCAGGACAGCUGGGUGGGCGCCCUGGCCCGGUGCUUGGACUCCGAGAGGCCUGCCCCUGGCACUGGACCCUGAGGUAACCUGUGUCCCUUUCUGCUUCCCCCCAGGUCGCAGACAAUGAGGGCAUGGCUGUUCCCUGCAGCUCCUGACUUCAGGGGUGUCCUCCGCAUCCCCGCUCCGUCCCAGGACCCUGCAAGCCUUCUGGCCGGCUGCAGGCGGAGCCCCGGCCCGCGGGCUCAGCCUGGUUCGAGGCCUCCGGGGGCAGCGGGUGCAUCUGGCCGCGAGGACAGACCGCCGGAGCGCUGCGACUCCUCUGGGCCAAAUGUGUUUAUUCCCCCGACGCAGACUUUAGCUUUUCUGGUUUGUGAAGGGCCAGAGCCCAGCAGCAGGGGUGGCCUCCGGGCUCAGGGCGCCCAGGGGAGCAGGGCCGCAUCACCUCCCCGCUGGCUUCGGGACAACCCAGCCCCGGGCGCAUGGGGUCUCUCUGCGCUCGACAACCGGCCGCCCCCCCACCCCCGCCCCCCUCCGUGUUUGUCCAGAGCGUGGGUGUCGCCGGGCUCCCCUCGCCAGCCCCAGGGCCACCCUGUCCCCCGUCCCGUGCGGAGGUGCUGGGGCUGCCACUCUGCAGUGAGACUUCAACGUAACAAGGAUGAAAACCUCGCCUGUGCUUUGUAAGAGCGCGUUCCGUACCCCUUUUUGUCACUCUGAAGACCAAAAAGCAAAAAGAAAGAUAAAGAAAACGAGUUCUGCUCUUGGUUUAAAUGUAAGAGAACAAAGGUCCGCGAGGAAGUCAUCGGGGCUCGGGCGCAUCUGCGGUGCACGAGGACCCCGGGGAAGCGCUUACCGCAUGGGCAGUGGCGGCUUUGAGGACGGGUCCUUGCGGUGCCCCUUGCCCGGCCCCCCUCAGGGCUCUCUGGCUGGCACGACCUUCCCAGGCAGGACGACGUCUCAGCAGGUGGAGAGUUUUGUUCUCGUUUCUCCCUGUGAAACCUCAGCUCCCUGGUUUCCUUGUCGGCUCCUUGAGAGCCGAGGGACAUCCCAGAGGGGACGGUGGUGCCUCUGCCUGUUCCUGGCUUUACUAGAACAUUCGUGGUGUCCCGCACCCAGCAGGACCUGCUCCUGGCCAGGCCGGAGGUCCUCUCCAGGAUGGGAGGGGGCGGGACUCCCCUCCCCGUGGGGCCUGGGGUUCUGGGCCUGACUCUUGGGUACGGGCAGCGGGAAGACGGUGGUUUUCAAACA